rnacentral:rRNA from 1 species
AUUGAACGCUGGCGGCAGGCCUAACACAUGCAAGUCGAGCGGUAACACAGGGAGCUUGCUCCUGGGUGACGAGCGGCGGACGGGUGAGUAAUGUCUGGGAAACUGCCUGAUGGAGGGGGAUAACUACUGGAAACGGUAGCUAAUACCGCAUAAUGUCGCAAGACCAAAGAGGGGGACCUUCGGGCCUCUUGCCAUCAGAUGUGCCCAGAUGGGAUUAGCUAGUAGGUGGGGUAACGGCUCACCUAGGCGACGAUCCCUAGCUGGUCUGAGAGGAUGACCAGCCACACUGGAACUGAGACACGGUCCAGACUCCUACGGGAGGCAGCAGUGGGGAAUAUUGCACAAUGGGCGCAAGCCUGAUGCAGCCAUGCCGCGUGUAUGAAGAAGGCCUUCGGGUUGUAAAGUACUUUCAGCGGGGAGGAAGGUGUUGAGGUUAAUAACCUCAGCAAUUGACGUUACCCGCAGAAGAAGCACCGGCUAACUCCGUGCCAGCAGCCGCGGUAA